rnacentral:rRNA from 1 species
CGGACGGGUGAGUAAUGUCUGGGAAACUGCCCGAUGGAGGGGGAUAACUACUGGAAACGGUAGCUAAUACCGCAUAACGUCGCAAGACCAAAGAGGGGGACCUUCGGGCCUCUUGCCAUCGGAUGUGCCCAGAUGGGAUUAGCUAGUAGGUGGGGUAACGGCUCACCUAGGCGACGAUCCCUAGCUGGUCUGAGAGGAUGAUCAGCCACACUGGGGCUGAGACACGGCCCAG